rnacentral:sRNA from 1 species
AUAUUUUUUUGAAUAUGAGAAGGUUCUGAGGCAAAGUUCGUAAUCCUUCCAUGUCCGAAACCAUAACAUGUAAUAUUAGUUUAGUUCAAAGCGUCAUUCGAACCGACGACCUCUAAGCUUUGCUUAAGGUUUUAUUAUCAAAAUAUUAAAAAAGCUGAUGUAAAAAGUAUUUGAAUAUAGUUUAACAUUUUAUU